UUCGCAAUGCCCGAAAGGGUGACGAAGCGACGCCGCGUGCGGGAAGAAGGCCUUCGGGUUGUAAACCGCUGUCGGGAGUUAAGAAAUGUAAGGAUGUUAAUAGCAUCUUUGCUUGACUAAGGCUCCGGAGGAAGCCACGGCUAACUCUGUGCCAGCAGCCGCGGUAAUACAGAGGCGGCAAGCGUUGUUCGGAAUUAUUGGGCGUAAAGAGCACGUAGGCGGCUAUGUAAGUCGGUUGUGAAAGCCUUCCGCUCAACGGGAGAACAGCAUCCGAUACUGCAUGGCUUGAGUGCGGGAGGGGAGAGUGGAACUUCUGGUGGAGCGGUGAAAUGCGUAGAUAUCAGAAGGAACGCCGGCGGCGAAAGCGGCUCUCUGGCCCAUAACUGACGCUGAGUGUGCGAAAGCUAGGGGAGCAAACGGGAUUAGAUACCCCGAUAGUCCUAGCCGUAAACGAUGGGCACUAAGUAGAGGGGUUUU
rnacentral:rRNA from 1 species